AUACCAUGGUGACAGCAUUUUCAUAAUAACUCAUUGAAUCGCACUCAUGCCUCAUACAGAGAUUCGUCAUCAAGUUGUUAAAAUGUAGUGAUCUCAUUCUGAAGUUU
rfam:Gossypium raimondii Chr02_contig_181, whole genome shotgun sequence.